CAGCAGCCGCGGGAAUACGGAGGGGGCUAGCGUUGUUCGGAAUUACUGGGCGUAAAGCGCACGUAGGCGGCUUGGUAAGUUGGAGGUGAAAGCCCGGAGCUCAACUCCGGAAUUGCCUUUAAGACUGCCGAGCUAGUAGGUGAGAGAGGUAAGUGGAAUUCCGAGUGUAGAGGUGAAAUUCGUAGAUAUUCGGAAGAACACCAGUGGCGAAGGCGGCUUACUGGCUCAUUCUAGACGCUGAGGUGCGAAAGCGUGGGGAGCAAACAGGAUUAGAUACCCGUGUAGUCCCUGUCUCUUAUAC
rnacentral:rRNA from 1 species